GAUGAACGCUGGCGGCGUGCCUAAUACAUGCAAGUCGAGCGAACAGACGAGGAGCUUGCUCCUCUGACGUUAGCGGCGGACGGGUGAGUAACACGUGGAUAACCUACCUAUAAGACUGGGAUAACUUCGGGAAACCGGAGCUAAUACCGGAUAAUAUAUUGAACCGCAUGGUUCAAUAGUGAAAGACGGUUUUGCUGUCACUUAUAGAUGGAUCCGCGCCGCAUUAGCUAGUUGGUAAGGUAACGGCUUACCAAGGCAACGAUGCGUAGCCGACCUGAGAGGGUGAUCGGCCACACUGGAACUGAGACACGGCCCAGACUCCUACGGGAGGCAGCAGUAGGGAAUCUUCCGCAAUGGGCGCAAGCCUGACGGAGCAACGCCGCGUGAGUGAUGAAGGUCUUCGGAUCGUAAACCUCUGUUAUUAGGGAAGAACAAAUGUGUAAGUAACUAUGCACGUCUUGACGGUACCUAAUCAGAAAGCAACGGCUAACUACGUG
rnacentral:rRNA from 1 species